GGGUGGGGUUUAGGAUUUAGGGUUUAGGGUUUAGGGUUUAGGGUUUAAAGUUUAGGGUUUAGGGUUUAGAGUUUAGGGUUUAUGGUUUAUGGUUUAGGGUUUAGAGUUUAGGGUUUAGAGUUGAGAAAUGAAGUUUUGGGGAUAAGAUUUCAAACUUUGAAAAAUAAAAAAAUUAAAAUUUUUAAAGGAUAAACUUAGAAAGGUGCUAUUUUGGUCAUUUUAGUUUUUGAGUGUUAUUUUUGUGAUAUAAACUUAGAAAUGUGCUAUUUUGGAGAUUUGCCCAAAAAUCAAACAUUAAACAUACAUUUAAAAUUUUACUACUUGGGGUUAAAAAAAUUGAUUUUUUUUGGAAGGACAAG
rnacentral:lncRNA from 1 species